rnacentral:rRNA from 1 species
CUACGGGCCGCAGCAGUGGGGAAUAUUGCACAAUGGGCGCAAGCCUGAUGCAGCCAUGCCGCGUGUAUGAAGAAGGCCUUCGGGUUGUAAAGUACUUUCAGCGGGGAGGAAGGGAGUAAAGUUAAUACCUUUGCUCAUUGACGUUACCCGCAGAAGAAGCACCGGCUAACUCCGUGCCAGCAGCCGCGGGUAAUACGGAGGGUGCAAUCGUUAAUCGCAAUUACUGGGCGUAAAGCGCACGCAGGCGGUUUGUUAAGUCAGAUGUGAAAUCCCCGGGCUCAACCUGGGAACUGCAUCUGAUACUGGCAAGCUUGAGUCUCGUAGAGGGGGGUAGAAUUCCAGGUGUAGCGGUGAAAUGCGUAGAGAUCUGGAGGAAUACCGGUGGCGAAGGCGGCCCCCUGGACGAAGACUGACGCUCAGGUGCGAAAGCGUGGGGAGCAAACAGGAUUAGAUACCCGCGUAGUC